GACGAACGCUGGCGGCGUGCUUAACACAUGCAAGUCGAACGAAAAGGCCCUGCUUUUGUUCGGUGCUCGAGUGGCGCACGCGUGAGUAACACGCGUGUAUCCUGCCCCUGACUUUCUGAUAUCUUCUCGAAACUCCGGCUCUUACCGCGUAUGAUCUCCUGCUGCAUGUUGGUGGUUGGUAAGUUUCGGCUGUUGGGGAUGGACUCGCUGGUUAUCCGCUUGUUGGUCGAGUAGUUGCUUACCAAGGGUGUGACGGGUAGCCGGCCUGAGAGGGUGGACGGGCACAAUGGGACUGAGAGACGGCGCAGAAGGGUACGGGAGGCAGCAGGGGGGAGUAUUGCACAGUGGGGGGAAGCCUGAUGUAGCAACGCCGCGAGCGUGAUGACGGGCUUCGGGGGAUGAACCGCUGUGGCAGGUGACGAAGAGGGAGUGACGGUAAUGGGUAAAGAAGCACCGGCUAACUACGUG
rnacentral:rRNA from 1 species